rnacentral:rRNA from 1 species
GGGCGAGUUUGAUCAUGGCUCAGGACGAACGCUGGCGGCGUGCUUCACACAUGCAAGUCGAGCGGAAAGGCCCUUCGGGGUACUCGAGCGGCGAACGGGUGAGUAACACGUGAGUAACCUGCCCUUAGCACCGGGAUAGCUCCGGGAAACCGGAAUUAAUACCGGAUAUGACCACGAUCGGCAUCGGCCGUGGUGGAAAGGAUUCCGGCUAGGGAUGGACUCGCGGCCUAUCAGCUAGUUGGUUGGGGUAACGGCCCACCAAGGCGACGACGGGUAGCCGGCCUGAGAGGGCGACCGGCCACACUGGGACUGAGACACGGCCCAGACUCCUACGGGAGGCAGCAGUGGGGAAUAUUGCGCAAUGGGCGAAAGCCUGACGCAGCGACGCCGCGUGAGGGAUGAAGGCCUUCGGGUUGUAAACCUCUUUCAGCAGGGACGAAGCGCAAGUGACGGUACCUGCAGAAGAAGCGCCGGCUAACUACGUGCCAGCAGCCGCGGUAAUAAG